UCUGUUAUAACAGGAUUUGAUGAUCAAAGUUGAAUCAUUUCCCAUUUGGAAGAAAAUAAUCUGAAACAAGGCUUGCAUGUGCUGUGGGAAAACUGUUAGUUUUCAAAUGUUUGCAUGGUUUCUACAUGUUAUCUGUAGAAGAAACACUAAGAAUGAUGCAUGGCAGUCAUCCAUGAUGACAUCUUGUCAGUCAAUUACUGUCGUUCAUAUUUUUAUUUUCCAGCUUUUAGCACAUAAAGUUUACUCCUCAGUUACUAUUUAUUCUAAGUACAUGAAGUAAACAAAUAU
rnacentral:lncRNA from 1 species